UGGAGAAAUGGUCUGAAGGACUCCGAUUUAUUCAAAGUAAGAAGAAUCGAGCUCUCCAUUCAGUAAUUAAGACAAGUCCUUAUGAGGCUAUAUUCCGAUCAGUGCAAAAGAUUGGACUUGCAGAUUUCUCUCUUUCCAGUAAUUUAUACUCGUCUACAAACAGAAAAAGAAUUGGAACAACUCCUUUCUUCAAUAAAAGGCAAUGAUAAAGACAACAGUGGUGAAGAAAAAGGCAACAAACAACCUAGUGGAGACAAAAAUAGGCCUCAAUCUGGAAAUAUUUUACAAAAAACAGAAAAUAUUGAUGACAAUAAACUUUAUUGUGAUUUGUGAAAAAAAAACUUCUGGAGCUCACAAGUGUUCAGGGUGUCAUCAAUAUGUUCACGUUAUUUGCGGAGAAAGUGAUGCUCC
rnacentral:lncRNA from 1 species